GAUGAACGCUGGCGGCGUGCCUAAUACAUGCAAGUCGAGCGAACUUACGAGAAUCUUUUUUCUCUGAUGUUAGCGGCGGACGGGUGAGUAACAUGUGGAUAACCUACCUAUAAGACUUGGAUCACUUCGGUAAACCGUAGCUAAUCCCGGAUAAUAUUUUUAACCUUAUGGUUCAAAAGUGAAAGACGGUCUUUCUGUUACUUAUACAUGUAUUCGCCCUGCAUUCGAUAUUAGGUAAGGUAACGGCUUACCAAGGCAACGAUACAUAGCCGAGCUGAGAUGGUGAGAGGACACACUGGAACUGAAACGCGGUACAGACUCCAACGGGAGGCAAGGGAAGGGAAACGUACACAAUGGGAGAAAGCGUAACGGAGAAACGCCGCGUGGGGGAUAAAAGUAUUCGGAUCGUAAAACUCUGUUGUUAGGGAAGAACAUAUAUGUAAGUAACUGGGAAGAACUUGAAGGUACCUAAUCAGAAAGACACGGCUAACUACGUG
rnacentral:rRNA from 1 species